GGAUGUGAGGGCAGUCUGGCUGUGACAUGUCACCCCAUUGAUGGCCAGAGUUGAUAUGGGCUGAUACUGAUGACCAGGGAGGUAUCCCCUUCCUCUUAAACUUCUCCAUGUGCUUCUGUCCUGAAGCUGUACAUUUGGUCAAAGAGGAUGACCUUCCUCCAUAGAGGAGGACCAAUCUUUGGUCAAGGGUAUACGAGUAGCUGUAUUCCCCUGCUAGAAAUUUCAAACAAGCUCUCAAAAAGAUACGAAGUCAAAACAAUGAAAUACCACUACACAGCUAUUACAGUGAGAAAAU
rnacentral:snRNA from 1 species